GUGCCAGCCGCCGCGGUAAUACGUAGGGUCCGAGCGUUGUCCGGAUUUAUUGGGCGUAAAGAGCUCGUAGGCGGCUCAGUAAGUCGGAUGUGAAAACUCGGGGCUCAACCCCGAGACGCCAUCCGAUACUGCUGUGGCUUGAAUCUGGUAGGGGAGAUCGGAAUUCCUGGUGUAGCGGUGAAAUGCGCAGAUAUCAGGAGGAACACCGGUGGCGAAGGCGGAUCUCUGGGCCAGUAUUGACGCUGAGGAGCGAAAGCGUGGGUAGCAAACAGGAUUAGAAACCCCUGUAGUCC
rnacentral:rRNA from 1 species